AUGAAUGAUGCAAUAGCGGCUCUGAGCAAACAGCUGAAGCCACAGGCACCGGGUACAACCCCUGUGCUGGCAGACGCUGCCUGUCACCCCCAGGAUGAUGCUGAGCCCCAAACAGGGCCAGAGGCAGCCACAGCCCAUGGCACAACCCCCAGGGUCCUGCAAGAGACCCUCCCCAGCCACGUCACUCACGAGCUGUUUGAAGGAGACCUGAAAGAAGGACCAGCCGCAGCUGAGCUUUGUGCUCCGGACACGACACAGGCUGGUGCGUCCGUGGGAGCCAGGCACUGCAGGGCUCAGGAGACAGGGGCAGAGCAGGGAGAGAGCUCAGAGGAUGCACGGAGGAUGUUAUUCCUGCAGGGAAAGGGCACUGGUGUGAAGGAGCUGAUGCUAAAGGCGACUCAGCAUCUGCAACAAGCACUGGGAGAGAGCACAGAGGGAGGAGAGCAGGCACUGAUGGAGGUGGAGGGAGAAGGAUGGAUGCAGGAAAAAAUAGGUUGGGAAAAGGCACAGCCCCCAGGAGAAGCUGAGGAGGUGGCAUUAAGCCAGGGAGAAAAUCUGGAGACAGGUCUGGGGCCACCUGAGCCUGGGGAGGCAGGACUAGCAGUGGGAUGGCAGCUUGCUACAGAUGAGCUUGGCCCAGCUGUGCGCCCAGGAGAGCAUGCACAGCCCCUGGCCAUGGGGCUGGGGGAAGAGGCUGACCUGCCAUCGGGGCUCUCAGAGAAACUUGAAAUAAACCCAGGAGAGCACCUGGAGCCAGAGCCACCAUCCCAGGUUGAGGCACGAACGGGAGCAGCCCAGAAGGACGGUGUCCUCCCUGAGGUGACAGUGGCUCCUGGCCCCGGGAUGCUGGGCGAAGAGCAUGCCAGUGCAGAGGUGCAGCCUCAGGGAGAAACCUUAGAUGCUGAGGUGCUGCCAGCCCCAGCUCGGCAUGGAGGGAGCAGCAGAGCCAGGGCCGAGGAAGGGGAGGUGGAGGUAACACAACCCAGGGAGGCAGAACCGCAACCGCAGGGUGAGUCUGCGAGGGGAGAGGCAGGAUGGGGAGGGAGCGUGGGUGCAGAGGUGCCGCUGCCGGCGGCUGUGCCACCCGCCGACAUGCAGGAAGGUGGAGCAGGAACAGAUGUGCAACCGCUGGAGGCCCAGAGCAACGAUGCCAACAUGCAGCUGCUUGCGGAGGUGAAGGCAGCUCUGCAGCCCCUGAGCGAGGCCGGCUCUCUGGGGACAGAGCAGGGAGGGAGCGUAGCUCCAGGUGUGCAACCACCGGAGGAGGUUGAUAAACCAGAGUUAGGGCUGGGGGAGGAAAUGGAUGCUGCUGCAGUACAUGGUGAGGGUCAUUCCCCAGCAGAAACACCUGCAGGGAGCCCAGAUCUGGGUGGGCUGUUCCCAGUUAAGGCUCAGGCACUGGAAACGGUGGAGACAGAGGACUCCCAGGCAGACACGCAGCUGCAUGGAGGUGCCAGCCCAGAAACCCUCCAGGGAGGGGGCAACUGUGCAGCCAUACUUCUCCUGGAGGAGGCUGAGGAUGGGGAACAAGGACACGGUGAGUGUGGGCUGCCACAAGAGGCUUUGCUUUACCCCCAUGGAGUGACGAUCAGGCAGGGAGAGGGGGCUGCUGCUGUUGUGCAGUCCUCUGAGGAGGCGGUACUGUUGGACAUGCUGGAGGUUCAGAGCUCUGAUGCCAAUGUGCAGCUGCUUGCAGGGGUGGAUGAGCUCAGAUUGACCCCAGGAGGGAGCAGUGAGACAGAUCUGCAGCUGCCAAGUGAGGUUAGGUCCCCAGGGACAGAGCAAGGAGGGAGCAUGGCUCCAGAUGUGCAACCCCUGGAUCAGGUUGAUACACCAGAGUUGGUGGAAAUGGUGGAGGCAGAGGACUCCUGGGCAGAGAUGCAGCUUCGUGGGGGUGCCAGCCCAGAAACCCUGCAGGGAGGGGAGGACUGUGCAGCCAUGCAGCUUGGGGUGGAGGCUGAGGAUGGGGGACAAGGGCUGGGGGAACAUGGGCUGCCACAUGAGUCUGUGCUUUGUCUGCAAGGAGCAGGAGAGGGGCAGGGAGAGGGGCUGGAUGCAGGCGUGGAAGUGUGGGAGUCGGGUGAAAACCUGGACACACUGGAAGUUCAAAGCACUGAUACAAAUGUGCAGCAGCCUGCAGAGGCAGAUGAGCUUGAAAUGACCCCAGGAGGGAGCAUGGAGGCAGAUCUGCAGCUGCUAAGUGAGGUUAGGUCCCCAGGGACAGAGCAGGGAGGGAGCUUGGCUCCAGAUGUGCAACCCCUGGAUCAGGUCGAUACACCAGAGUUAGUGGAAAUGGUGGAGGCAGAGGACUCCUGGACAGACAUGCAGCUGCAUGGGGGUGCCAGCCCAGAAACCCCGCAGGGAGGGGNNGGGGAACAAGGGCAGGGUGAGCAUGGGCUGCCACAUGAGCCUGUGCUUGAUCUGCAAGGAGCAGGAGUCGGGUGUGAAGAAGGGGCUGAUGCAGGUGUGCAGCCCCCUGAGGAGGCUGUAAUCCUGGACACACUGGAGGUUCAAAGUAGUGAUGCAAACAUGCAGCCGCUUGCAAUGGUGGAUGAGCUCGAACUGACCCCAGAAGGGAGCAGUGAGACAGAUCUGCAGCCCCUGGGUGAGGCUGGCUCCCUGGGGACAGAGCAGGGAGGGAGUGUGGCUCCAUAUGUGCAUCCCCUGGACCAGGUUGAUAAACAUGAUAAACAGGAGUUAGUGGAAUUGGAGGCAGAGGACUCCUGGGUAUACAUGCAGCUUCGUGGGGGUCUUGGCCUAGAAGCCCCACGGGGCAAGAAGACCAGAAGAGCUGUGCAGCUCGUGGAGGAGGCUGAGGAUGGGGGACAAGGGCUGGGGGAACAUGGGCUGCCACAUGAGUCUGUGCUUGAUCCGCAAGGAACAGCAGUUGGGCAGGGAGAGGGGGCUGAUGCAGGCGUGGAACUGUGGGAUUCGGGUGAAAGCCUGGACUUGCUGGAGGACCAGAGCACUGAUGCCAACAUGCAGCUGCUUGCAGAGGCAGAUGAGCUCAAAAUGACCCCAGGAGGGAGCAUGGAGGCAGAUCUGCAGCUGCUAAGUGAGGUUAGGUCCCCAGGGACAGAGGAGGGAGGGAGCUUGGCUCCAGAUGUGCAACCCCUGGAUCNNNNNNNNNNNNNNNNNNNNNNNNNNNNNNNNNNNNNNNNNNNNNNNNNNNNNNNNNNNNNNNNNNNNNNNNNNNNNNNNNNNNNNNNNNNNNNNNNNNNNNNNNNNNNNNNNNNNNNNNNNNNNNNNNNNNNNNNNNNNNNNNNNNNNNNNNNNNNNNNNGCAGGGAGAAGAGGCUGA
rnacentral:lncRNA from 1 species